GGACUACUAGGGUUUCUAAUCCUGUUUGCUCCCCACGCUUUCGUGCAUGAGCGUCAGUAUUGGCCCAGGGGGCUGCCUUCGCCAUCGGUAUUCCUCCACAUCUCUACGCAUUUCACUGCUACACGUGGAAUUCUACCCCCCUCUGCCAUACUCUAGCCUUGCAGUCACGAAUGCAGUUCCCAGGUUGAGCCCGGGGAUUUCACAUCCGUCUUACAAAACCGCCUGCGCACGCUUUACGCCCAGUAAUUCCGAUUAACGCUUGCACCCUACGUAUUACCGCGGCUGCUGGCAC
rnacentral:rRNA from 1 species